GGACCAAGGAGUCUAGCAUGUGCGCGAGUCAUUGGGACUCUAAAGAAACCUAAAGGCGCAAUGAAAGUGAAGGUUCGCCUCGCGCGAACCGAGGGAGGAUGGGCGGUCGCGAGUGGCCGCCCCGCACUCCCGGGGCGUCUCGUUCUCAUCGCGAGAAGAGGCGCACCCAGAGCGUACACGCUGGGACCCGAAAGAUGGUGAACUAUGCCUGGUCAGGACGAAGUCAGGGGAAACCCUGAUGGAGGUCCGUAGCGAUUCUGACGUGCAAAUCGAUCGUCGGAACUGGGUAUAGGGGCGAAAGACUAAUCGAACCAUCUAGUAGCUGGUUCCCUCCGAAGUUUCCCUCAGGAUAGCUGGCGCUCGCUUCUUGCGAGUCUCAUUCGGUAAAGCGAAUGAUUAGAGGCAUUGGGGUCGAAACGGCCUCAACCUAUUCUCAAACUUUAAAUGGGUGAGAUCUCCGGCUUGCUUGAACUGUGAAGCCGCGAGAUAUCGGAUCAGAGUGCCAAGUGGGCCACUUUUGGUAAGCAGAACUGGCGCUGUGGGAUGAACCAAACGCUGAGUUAAAGCGCCUAAAUCGACGCUUAUGGGAUACCAUGAAAGGCGUUGGUAACUUAAGACAGCAGGACGGUGGCCAUGGAAGUCGGAA
rnacentral:rRNA from 1 species